UACAGAGGGUGCAAGCGUUAAUCGGAAUUACUGGGCGUAAAGCGCGCGUAGGUGGUUUGCUAAGUUGGAUGUGAAAUCCCCGGGCUCAACCUGGGAACUGCAUUCAAAACUGACAAGCUAGAGUAUGGUAGAGGGUGGUGGAAUUUCCUGUGUAGCGGUGAAAUGCGUAGAUAUAGGAAGGAACACCAGUGGCGAAGGCGACCACCUGGACUGAUACUGACACUGAGGUGCGAAAGCGUGGGGAGCAAACAGG
rnacentral:rRNA from 1 species